GAGCUUGCUCCCUGGGUGACGAGCGGCGGACGGGUGAGUAAUGUCUGGGAAACUGCCUGAUGGAGGGGGAUAACUACUGGAAACGGUAGCUAAUACCGCAUAACGUCGCAAGACCAAAGAGGGGGACCUUCGGGCCUCUUGCCAUCAGAUGUGCCCAGAUGGGAUUAGCUAGUAGGUGGGGUAAUGGCUCACCUAGGCGACGAUCCCUAGCUGGUCUGAGAGGAUGACCAGCCACACUGGAACUGAGACACGGUCCAGACUCCUACGGGAGGCAGCAGUGGGGAAUAUUGCACAAUGGGCGCAAGCCUGAUGCAGCCAUGCCGCGUGUGUGAAAAAGGCCUUCGGGUUGUAAAGCACUUUCAGCGAGGAGGAAGGUGGUGAACUUAAUACGUUCAUCAAUUGACGUUACUCGCAGAAAAAGCACCGGCUAACUCCGUGCCAGCAGCCGCGGUAAUACGGAGGGUGCAAGCGUUAAUCGGAAUUACUGGGCGUAAAGCGCACGCAGGCGGUUUGUUAAGUCAGAUGUGAAAUCCCCGGGCUCAACCUGGGAACUGCAUUUGAAACUGGCAAGCUAGAGUCUCGUAGAGGGGGGGUAGAAUUCCAGGUGUAGCGGUGAAAUGCGUAGAGAUCUGGAGGAAUACCGGUGGCGAAGGCGGCCCCCUGGACGAAGACUGAC
rnacentral:rRNA from 1 species